UACGGAGGGGGCUAGCGUUGUUCGGAAUGACUGGGCGUAAAGGGCGCGUAGGCGGAUGGCACAGUCAGAUGUGAAAUUCCUGGGCUUAACCUGGGGGGCUGCAUUUGAUACGUGUUGUCUUGAGUGAGGAAGAGGGUCGUGGAAUUCCCAGUGUAGAGGUGAAAAUUCGUAGAUAUUGGGAAGAACACCGGUGGCGAAGGCGGCGACCUGGUCCUUAACUGACGCUGAGGCGCGAAAGCGUGGGGAGCAAACAGG
rnacentral:rRNA from 1 species